rnacentral:rRNA from 1 species
CCUACGGGGGGCUGCAGUGAGGAAUAUUGGUCAAUGGGCGCGAGCCUGAACCAGCCAAGUAGCGUGAAGGAUGAAUGCCCUACGGGUUGUAAACAUCUUUUAUAAGGGAAUAAAGUGUGGCACGUGUGCCCUUUUGUAUUUACUUUAUGAAUAAGGAUCGGCUAACUCCGUGCCAUCAGCCGCGGUAAUACGGAGGAGCCGAGCGUUAUCCGGAUUUAUUGGGUUUAAAGGGAGCGUAGAUGGGUUGUUAAGUCAGUUGUGAAAUGUUGCGGCUCAACCGUAAAAUUGCAAUUGAUACUGGCAGUCUUGAGUACAGUUGAGGUAGGCGGAAUUCGUGGUGUAGCGGUGAAAUGCUUAGAUAUCACGAAGAACUCCGAUUGCGAAGGCAGCCUACUAAACUGCCACUGACAUUGAGGCUCGAAAGUGUGGGUAUCAAACAGGAGUAGAUACCCGGGUAGUC